rnacentral:lncRNA from 1 species
AAGACACAAGAAAGACAGCUAGACAGCAAGUGAACAAACAGAGAAGGCAUAAAAAGCAAAAGCUUCUCCUUUUAUCUGGUACCUUCGUCUGAUGUUGCAGCAUGGACCACUAGCACGUUUUUUGUUCUUGCUUCUGUCCUUAAAUGGCCCAAGUUAAUUUGCCUCAGCUGGAGACAGCUCACCCAUCCUGAUAUGGUACCUGCAUGCAUAGAAGAAAAGUAAUGAAAGAAUUCCUGUGGUUUGGGUCAGUAAAUAAAACAGAAAGUCUUUCUGGUGGUUGUGGUU